CCUAGGCCUUCGGCCUAGGCUAUUUUACGGCGGGCCUUUGGCCCU
rnacentral:sRNA from 1 species